GGCCCGGGCUUUGUUCCGGGCUUUUUCGUAAACUCACUUCCAGGUGUCUGGAAACGGUUGCAAGUCCGUGAAAAGAGCGAGCACGAA
rnacentral:ribozyme from 1 species